rnacentral:rRNA from 1 species
AGCUCCAAUAGCGUAUAUUAAAGUUGUUGCAGUUAAAAAGCUCGUAGUUGAACUUUGGGCCUGGUUGGCCGGUCCGAUUUUUUCGUGUACUGGUUUCCAACCGGGCCUUUCCUUCUGGCUAACCUUGGGUCCUUGUGGCCCUUGGCGAACCAGGACUUUUACUUUGAAAAAAUUAGAGUGUUCAAAGCAGGCGUAUUGCUCGAAUAUAUUAGCAUGGAAUAAUAGAAUAGGACGUUUGGUUCUAUUUUGUUGGUUUCUAGGACCAUCGUAAUGAUUAAUAGGGACGGUCGGGGGCAUCAGUAUUCAAUUGUCAGAGGUGAAAUUCUUGGAUUUAUUGAAGACUAACUACUGCGAAAGCAUUUGCCAAGGACGUUUUCA